rnacentral:lncRNA from 1 species
CUGCUCUUCACUUCCCUGAGCAAGGUUCAAGGCUGCCUUUUCCCUCACAGCUAACCAAGCAGGAGAAACGGCCCUGGACACUGCCAAGAGGACAAGACAUCACCAAUGUGAAGAGCUGGUAGGACACGGUGUCGGUUUUGGGACACAUCCUGGCAGGGAAAGGCACUGCACAGAUGCCUGGUGCAGGGCCAUCCAAAUCCUUCAGCAUCAUCUGUGCUGGUAUGGGACACAGAGGAGGGUGCCACGGGGUCUGCUCUGUCCCAGCUGUCGUGGGGUACCUCAGGGCUGGGCAGUUUGGGACAGGUCACAUAGGGGAACCUGAAACUGCACAAAGCCACACAGGGUGAGAGCAUCUCCUUGGUGAGUCCAAGCCUUACUUUGGCCGUGUCCCACAGAGUGUUUGGACAGCUUUGCAAAACUCCUGGCCUGCUGAGCUAGCAGCACCACAUACAGUUUGUGAUUGUUUCCUCCAUAACCAAAUGGUCUGUCAGAAAUGGGGCUGGUGCAGCGGGCAGGGCUGGUGGGUGCUCAGGGGGCUCCUCUGUGCCUCAGCUGCUGCAGGCCCAGAACAAUCAGUUCAGCCCGCACGUCCAUGUGGAGUACGAGUGGUGGCUGGGCCAGGAUGACAUGUAUGAGAGUGACGAUGAGCUGGAUGAGAAGCUGGGUCUUAUGAAGAGGGGGUCUUCCUGUCCACAGAGCUGCUCUCAGCCUCCUGCCACUGCCGCCAGACCAGAAGCAGCAGGGGCAAUGCCCCAGGGGAGGCGGCCAGACAGCUAUGCCUUGCCACACACCCACCUCCGCAGCCUGGAUGUGCCACCAGCCCCCUCCUACCCACCUCCCUUCCCUCCCCAUCGGGCGAAGUCAGCUCCUGAAAGGACACGUCCACUCCUGACCAGUUCAUCUGUCUUUGGUGAGGACACAAGAACCAGGAGGAGCCCAUCCCUGCCUCUGAGCUCCAAGCACAAGCGCACAUCCUCAGAUCCAGCUCCUUGGGUACCACUCAGCCCAGAGAAACCCAUCCUUGGCCUGGCUUCAGGUGCCCUGAUGGCUGUGGACAGCCUCUAUGCAUCUGUCUCCAGAAAAGGAGGACAACCUGGCCCACACCAAUCCCCCCAGGAGUCAGAUCCAAGUUCUGGAAGUGCCUCGGACGUCCCGCCUCCUCUUCCUCGGAGGGGCAGUUCGGUAGGUGGCCAUGGGCUCAGCUCCUG